rnacentral:rRNA from 1 species
AGGAUGCGAGCGUUAUCCGGAUUUAUUGGGUUUAAAGGGUGCGUAGGCGGACUGUCAAGUCAGCGGUAAAAUACGGGGGCUCAACCUCCGCCCGCCGUUGAAACUGACGGUCUUGAGUGGGCGAGAAGUAUGCGGAAUGCGUGGUGUAGCGGUGAAAUGCAUAGAUAUCACGCAGAACUCCGAUUGCGAAGGCAGCAUACCGGCGCCCAACUGACGCUGAAGCACGAAAGCGUGGGUAUCGAACAGGAUUAGAUACCCUGGUAGUCCACGCAGUAAACGAUGAAUACUAGCUGUCCGGGGCGAAUGGGCCCUGGGUGGCACAGCGAAAGCGUUAAGUAUUCCACCUGGGGAGUACGCCGGCAACGGUG